UAUGAAGAGGGAACGCAACACCCUGCUACAACUAAACUCUCUGUGAAGCGAAAAAGGUAUGGACUGUAGGUGCGAGUAAAAAAUGACAACAAGCAGAAUGUGGUACCGUUUACAAGGACUUUAUUCCUUUACACAGUAAUAUGGGGAAAAGGGGCUGGACGGACCCAAAGCAAAGAAAGUAAAUCUCAAAACCUCCCCCUCUCCUAUCUUACCUGCCUACCCACUACUUACCUAAUUUAGCACCACCUGGUGCCCUAACCAAAAUACAGGGGGUGGUCCGCCCAGGUCUUACCUAGUGUGCCUAGACUGCGAAUAUGCUACGGGUAUAUGUAUGCCCGCGGGCCUCUUGCCUAAGCACUCCCAAGGUGCCUUCCCCUUCUCCCCCUGGGAACAAAUGAAACAGAAUAUUAAACAAUUUUCAAACAAACUAACAAACGACAUCAAAUAAGCUCUAUCUGAGCAACAAACUCACAAAAUAUACAAACUCUCAGCAAAAUCAACCUCUAGCAAAAUCUCUAGCAAAAUCUCUCAGAAAAUCUCUCUACAAAAAGAUCUCUCUCCUGAACAGAACACUGGCAUUUAUAUAUCUUCAGAUGGAAUGGGUAAUUGGAGACAGCUGUCUUGACGAGGGGGCGGAGUCAGCUCUCCAUUUAGCCAUGGAGUCGACCAAUCAGCUGCUUGAGGGAUUUCCGGAGCCAUUUCCUGAAAUAAACACAUGCACAAACACAAACUACAACACAUAAACUGGGGAACGUAACACCGGCGACGACGACCGCCGAGCGCCACCCGAACAAGAAGGGGAGUCACCUUCGGUAAUAUUCGUGACAGUACCACCCCCCCCCUGACGCGCAGCUCCCGCAGCGCGCCGACGCUGGCCUCGGGGACGACCCGGGGGCCGAGGCGCUGGGCGAUACGGACGGAGGCGAUGGAAUUCACUCAACAUAGAUGGGUCUAGAAUAUCCCUCACCGGAACCCAGCACCUCUCCUCCGGACCGUACCCCUCCCAGUCAACGAGGUACUGCAAGCCCCUCACCUGGCGUCUCGAGUCCAGAAUAGCUCGUACUGUGUACGCCGGGGACCCCUCGAUGUCCAGGGGGGCGGAGGAACCUCCGGAACCUCAUCUUCCUGCAUGGGACCAGCUACCACCGGUCUGAGAAGAGACACAUGAAACGAGGGGUUAAUACGAUAAUACGAAGGAAGUAAUAAUCGAUAACAAACCUUGUUUAUUCUCCUCAGGACUUUAAAUGGCCCUAUACACUGCGGACCCAGCUUCCGGCAGGGCAAGCGGAGGGGCAGGUUUCGGGUCGAGAGCCAGACCCUGUCCCCAGGUGCAAACACGGGGGCCUCACUGCGGUGACGGUCAGCGCUCUUCUUCUGCCUUAUACUCGCUUGGCGUAAUGACUCUUGGACCGCCCUCCAGGUCUCCUUAGAGCGCUGUACCCACUCCUCCACCGCAGGAGCCUCAGUCUGGCUCUGAUGCCACGGUGCCAGGACUGGCUGGUACCCCAACACGCACUCAAAUGGUGACAUGUUGGUAGAGGAGUGGCUUAGUGAGUUCUGGGCUAUUUCUGCCCAGGGAAUAUAUCUCGCCCACUCCCCUGGCCGGUCCUGGCAAUACGACCGCAGAAACCUACACACCUCCUGGUUAACUCUCUCCACCUGCCCAUUACUCUCCGGGUGAUACUCUGAGGUCAGGCUGACCGAGACCCCCAGACAUUCCAUAAAUGCCCUCCAAACACGGGAGAUAAAUUGGGGGCCCUGAUCAGAAACUAUAUCCUCGGGCACCCCGUAGUGCCGGAAGACAUGGGUGAAAAGAGCUUCCGUAGUCUGUAGGGCCGUAGGGAGACCGGGCAAUGGGAUAAGACGGCAGGACUUAGAGAACCGAUCCACAACGACCAGGAUUGUUGUGUUACCCUGAGAGGGAGGAAGGUCAGUAAGAAAAUCCACCGAUAGAUGGGUCCACGGCCAUUGUGGAACGGGAAGAGAUUGUCAUUUACCUCUUGGCAGGUGUCUAGGAGCCUUACUCUGGGCGCACACCGAACAGGAGGAAACAUAGAAUCGCACAUCCCUCCUCAAAGUGGGCCACCAGUACUUCCUCUCAAGACCUCUCACUGUCCUAAAAAUACCUGGGUGACCCGACGAGGGUAGACAAUGAGCCCAUCGAAUCAAUUGAUCACGGACAGCCAGCGGCACGUACCUACGACCCUCCGGACACUGUGGAGGCGCAGGUUCCUCCCUUAGCGCCCGCUCGAUGUCCGCGUCCACAUCCCAUACUACUGGUGCCACCAGCUUAGCUGCCGGAAUGAUGGGAGUAGGAUCGAUGGACCUGUCCUCAGUGUCAUAGAGUCUUGACAGCGCGUCGGCCUUAGUGUUGAGGGAACCUGGUCUAUACGAAAUAGUGAAACGAAAUCUAGUGAAAAACAUGGCCCACCUUGCCUGACGAGGAUUCAGUCUCCUAGCUGAUCGGAUAUACUCCAGGUUACGGUGGUCAGUCCAGAUAAGGAAAGGGUGCUUAGCCCCCUCAAGCCAGUGUCUCCACACCUUCAGGGCCUUAACCAUAGCCAACAACUCCCUAUCCCCCACAUCAUAAUUCCGCUCCGCUGGCCCGAGUUUCUUCGAAAAAAAAGGCACAGGGGCGGAGCUUCGGUGGCGCACCCGAACGCUGUGAGAGCACCGCUCCAACCCCAGCCUCGGAUGCGUCCACCUCUACUAUAAACGCCAAAGAAGGGUCCGGAUGCGCCAACACCGGCGCCUCAGUAAACAUCGCCUUCAACUUAUGAAAAGCUCCGUUCGCCUCUGCUGACCACUGCAAACGCACCGGCCCCCCCUUCAGCAGUGAGGUAAUAGGGGCAGCUACCUGACCAAAAUCCCGGAUAAACCUCCGGUAGUAAUUGGCAAAACCCAAUAACCGCUGCACCUCCUUUACCGUGGUCGGAGUCGGCCAAUUACGUACAGUCUUUACGCGGUCACCCUCCAUUACCAACCCAGAGCUGGAAAUGCGAUAACCCAGGAAGGAAACUGAUUGUUUGGAAAACUCACACUUCUCCGCCUUCACAUACAGGUCAUGCUCCAGCAGUCGUCUAAGAACCUUGCGCACAAGAGAUACAUGCGCAGUGCGUGUAGCGGAGUAGAUCAAAAUAUCGUCAAUAUACACCACUACACCCUGUCCGUGCAGGUCUCUGAGAAUCCCAUCCACGAAGGAUUGAAAUAUAGCUGGAGCAUUCUUUAAACCGUAUGGCAUGACGAGGUACUCAUAAUGGCCAGAAGUAGUGCUAAAUGCAGUUUUCCACUCAACUCCCUCCCGAAUACGCACCAGAUUAUAAGCACUCCUGAGAUCCAGUUUAGUGAAGAACUGCGCUCCGUGAAAUGAUUCCACUGCCGUAGCAAUGAGAGGUAGUGGGUAACUAAAACUCACUGUGAUGGAAUUUAGACCUCUAUAAUCAAUACACGGACGUAAACCACCAUCUUUUUUCUUCACAAAAAAGAAACUCGAAGAGACAGGUGACAUGGAGGGCCGAAUGUACCCCUGUCCCAAAGCCUCGGUGAUAUGUUUCCAUAGCCACCUUCUCCUCCUGGGACAAAGGAUACACAUGACUCCUGGGGAGUGCAGCGUUACCCUGGAGGUUUAUCACGCAAUCCCCCUGCCUAUGGGGUGGUAAUUGGGUCGCCUUCUUUUUACUGAAAACGAUAGCCAAAUCGUCAUACUCAGCUGGAAUGCGCACGGUGGAAACCUGGUCUGGACUCUCCACCGUUGUCACACCGAUGGAAACCCCUACACACCUGCCUGAACACUCAUCAGACCACCCCUGUAGAGUUCCCUGUUUCCACGAAAUCGUAGGAUUAUGAAUAGCUAGGCAGGGAAUCCCCAGUACAACUGGAAACGCAGGUGAAUCGAUAAGGAACAAACUAAUUCGCUCCUUGUGAUUCCCCUGCGUAAUCAUCUCCAACGAAAUUGUGUCUUUCUUCACCAGCCCUGACCCUAAUGGUCGACUAUCUAAAGAGUGCACGGUAAAAGGGGGGUCUACUUUUACUAACGGAAUCCUCAACCUCUGAGCCAGUCCGCGAUCUAUAAAGUUCCCAGCUGCGCCUGAAUCUACCAGUGCCUUAUGAUUGAGAGAGGGAGAAUAAUUAAGGAAACAAAUUAAUAAGAACAUGUGACCAACAGGAAACUCUGGGAGAGUGUGGUGCUUACUCACCUGGGGUGACCGAGGAGUGUUCUGCCUGCCUUCUCGACUCCCAGAUGAAUUCCUCCAGCACCGACCAGACGUGUGCCCUCUCCGGCCACAACUGGUACAGGAGGAGCCUCCUCCUCCGAUCUCCCUAGGCGCGGUCCCUCCUAGCUCCAUCGGGAUAGGAGCGGGAGGGUCAGGAGGUAGAACUGACAGGACCCUUUCAGAACGUCCGCGAGCAGCUGGCAGAUGGUCCAACCGGAUCGACAGGUCUAUCAGUCCAUCCAGGCUAAGUGUAGUGUCCCGACAAGCCAGCUCCCUGCGGACGUCCUCUCUCAGGCUACACCGGUAAUGGUCUAUCAGGGCCCUGUCGUUCCACCCUGCUCCAGCGGCCAAGGUCCGGAACUCCAGCGCGAAGUCCUGCGCGCUCCUCGUACCCUGCCUGAAAUGGAACAACCUCUCACCCGCCGCUCGACCCUCUGGAGGGUAAUCGAACACGGUCCGGAAACGGCGGGUGAACUCCGGGUAAUUGCCCUUCGCUGAGUCGGGCCCGUUCCAGACCAAAUUGGCCCACUCAAGGGCUCUACCCGUAAGGCAUGUGAUGAGGAAAAUACACAACACCACAACACCACCACAACACCACAACAGCCCAACACCACAACAGCCCAACACCACAACACCACAACACCACAACAGCCCAACACCACAACAGCCCAACACCACAACACCACAACAGCCCAACACCACAACACCACAACACCACAACAGCCCAACACCACAACACCACAACAGCCCAACACCACAACACCACAACACCACAACAGCCCAACACCACAACACCCCAACACCACAACAGCCCAACACCACAACAGCCCAACACCACAACACCGCAACAGCCCAACACCACAACACCACAACACCACAACAGCCCAACACCUCAACAGCCCAACACCACAACAGCCCAACACCACAACAACCCAACACCACAACACCACAACACCACAACAGCCCAACACAGGCCCAAAACUAGUUAAGCUACCACAGUAUCCCCUUGACCUUUUUGGAUUGCAAACCUAAAGAGACACACCAGACAAGACUCAGAGACAGCAACAGAAGACUAGGAUAAGUGUGUGUGAGUGUGUGUGAGAGAGAGAGAGAGAGAGAGAGAGAGAGAGAGAGAGAGAGAGAGAGAGAGAAGUACUCUGGGAUUAUUUCAUGUUGGCUCAUUAGACAGGUCAGAGUCUAUGUUUGAAGAUGUGGAGUGGUUUUUGGCAAUACACUGUAGAUGUAUGUGUUCACAAGUAGCCCCCAAUGUCUUCAAAUCCUAGGGGAGAGGAGCUGCUACCCCUGGGGUGAGAGAGGAGCUCCUACCCCUGGGGAGAGAGGAGCUGCUACCCCUGGGGAGAGAGGAGCUGCUACCCCUGGGGAGAAAGGAGGUGCUACCCCUGGGGAGAGGGGAGCUGCUACCAGGAGAGACUGUGACCCUGCUCGGGAAGAGCUUAACGAUUGUCACCAGGUCUCAACACAAUAGAACACAACCAUCAACAAAACACCAAAUGAUGGAAUUUCUUGUGGAGGAAUGAUGUCACGUCCCUCCAAUAGAGUUCCAGACAGUUGUAGAAUGUAUUCCAAGACACAUUGUAAGAGCUGUAAAGAGAGAGGGAGAGAGAGAGAACAGGCAGAACCUGAUAUGUAAAUGAGCAGAGCAAACAAAAGUAACUUCAGAUGACCGAAUGAUCAUCCAGACUGUGUUUCUAUUGAGAGAUAAAAGGUAAGACGACGAUUGUUAUGAGUAUUGAUGAUAUUGUUAUGUGUGUUCAUAUAGUUGGUGAUAUUGUUAUGUGUAUUCAUAUAGUUGAUGAUAUUGUUAUGUGUUUUCAUAUAGUUGAUGAUAUUGUUAUGUGUAUUCAUAUAGUUGAUGAUAUUGUUGUGUGUAUUCAUAUAGUUGAUGAUAUUGUUAUGUGUAUUCAUAUAGUUGAUGAUAUUGUUAUGUAUUCAUAUAGUUGAUGAUAUUGUUGUGUAUUCAUAUAGACCAGGGUGAUCUCCUACUGUAUCAUAGGUCUGUAGACCAGGGUGAUCUCCUACUGUAUCAUAGGUCUAUAGACCAGGGUGAUCUCCUACUGUAUCAUAGGUCUAUAGACCAGGGUGAUCUCCUACUGUAUCAUAGGUCUAUAGACCAGGGUGAUCUCCUACUGUAUCAUAGGUCUAUAGACCAGGGUGAUCUCCUACUGUAUCAUAGGUCUAUAGACCAGGGUGAUCUCCUACUGUAUCAUAGGUCUAUAGACCAGGGUGAUCUCCUACUGUAUCAUAGGUCUAUAGAGCAGGGUGAUCUCCUACUGUAUCAUAGGUCUAUAGACCAGGGUGAUCUCCUACUGUAUCAUAGGUCUAUAGACCAGGGUGAUCUCCUACUGUAUCAUAGGUCUAUAGACCAGGGUGAUCUCCUACUGUAUCAUAGGUCUAUAGACCAGGGUGAUCUCCUACUGUAUCAUAGGUCUAUAGACCAGGGUGAUCUCCUACUGUAUCAUAGGUCUAUAGACCAGGGUGAUCUCCUACUGUAUCAUAGGUCUAUAGACCAGGGUGAUCUCCUACUGUAUCAUAGGUCUAUAGACUUGUCUUCUCAAAACAGGCUUAAAACACAACAAGCAACAAACAAACAUUGUCUCUUUCUAAUCUACAGUUAAUUAUUUUCACUCAGGAAGGUUUGUUGUGUGAAAGAGAGACAAAUAUAUAUGGUGGAAAACAAAUUACACUUCCUCAAAACAGUUUAAGUGUAUUCACUAGUGCCCCUGUAGCAAAACGUUUGGCGACAGAAACCGUUUAGGUCACGUUGUACAGCUUUUGGAGUAAUCUGUUUAUGUUUUAUGCAACAUUUUAAUACUGUUGGCUGUGGAGUAAACUAAUGAAUACAACCCAGGUUGUUGCCUACGACUCUGCAUGUUGAUACCUGCCUGAUGCUGAAACCUGAUUGUAGCCUGAGACGUAUACUAUAAUGCAAGCUAGAUAUACUGGUUUUCUAAAGUUAGCCAGCUUCAGUUAGCUUCACAUUCCAGCUCAGGCCUCACCCAUCAGAAUAUACAGAGCGCUAGUCAUCAGGAAGGUGAUCUCUCAGCAGAACGGAAAAUAUCUCAAUGACUUGUCAUGUUCUGGUUGUGAAUUGAGGCUACAAUUGUUACACAAUUCAUGUAUGUUUUGUUCUAUAAAGUGCAUAUUUAUAUUCAAAAAU